rnacentral:rRNA from 1 species
AGGGUUCGAUUCUGGCUCAGAACGAACGCUGGCGGCAGGCUUAACACAUGCAAGUUGAACGGGAUUAAUUAGUAGCUUGCUAUUAAUUAUGAGAGUAGCGCACUGGUGAGUAACACGUGGGAACGUACCUAUUGGUGGGGGACAACAGUUGGAAACGACUGCUAAUACCGCAUAAGCCCUGAGGGGGAAAGAUUUAUUGCCGAUAGAUCGGCCCGCGGAAGAUUAGGUAGUAGGUGGGGUAACGGCCUACCUAGCCGACGAUCUAUAGCUGGUCUAAGAGGACGAUCAGCCACAUUGGAACUGAGACACGGUCCAGACUCCUACGGGAGGCAGCAGUGAGGAAUAUUGGGCAAUGGAGGCAACUCUGACCCAGCCAUGCCGCCGUGAGUGAAGAAGGUUUUCGGAUUGUAAAGCUCUUUCAGAUGAGAAGAUGAUGACGGUAUCAUCAGAAGAAGCACCGGCUAACUUCGUGCCAGCCGCUGC